GAGGGUAUAGUUCAGUUGUAGAGUGUGUGCUUGGCAUGCACAAGGUCCUGGGUUCAAUCCCUGGUACCUCCA
rnacentral:tRNA from 1 species